rnacentral:rRNA from 1 species
UUAAGUUAGUGGUUAAAUAUUUGAGCUAAACUCAAUUGUGCCAUUAAUACUGGUAAACUGGAGUACAGACGAGGUAGGCGGAAUAAGUUAAGUAGCGGUGAAAUGCAUAGAUAUAACUUAGAACUCCGAUAGCGAAGGCAGCUUACCAGACUGUAACUGACGCUGAUGCACGAGAGCGUGGGUAGCAAACAGGAUUAGAUACCCUGGUAGUCCACGCAGUAAACGAUGCUCACUGGUUCUGUGCGAUAUACUGUACGGUGAUUAAGCGAAAGUAUUAAGUGAGCCACCUGGGGAGUACGUCGGCAACGAUGAAACUCAAAGGAAUUGACGGGGGCCCGCACAAGCGGAGGAACAUGUGGUUUAAUUCGAUGAUACGCGAGGAACCUUACCUGGGUUUAAAUGGGAAAUGUCGUAUUUGGAAACAGAUAUUCUCUUCGGAGCGUUUUUCAAGGUGCUGCAUGGUUGUCGUCAGCUCGUGCCGUGAGGUGUCGGGUUAAGUCCCAUAACGAGCGCAACCCUUACCGUUAGUUGCUAGCAGGUAAUGCUGAGCACUCUAACGGGACUGCCAUCGUAAGGUGAGAGGAAGGCGGGGAUGACGUCAAAUCAGCACGGCCCUUACAUCCGGGGCUACACACGUGUUACAAUGGCCGGUACAGAGGGCCGCUACCAGGUGACUGGAUGCCAAUCUCAAAAGCCGGUCGUAGUUCGGAUUGGAGUCUGCAACCCGACUCCAUGAAGUUGGAUUCGCUAGUAAUCGCGCAUC